CUUCUAAGACGCAGGUUGGUUGACUGAUUAUUUGUAAAUUUAAGUUUUAAAAACAGUGAAUGAAAUGUGGCGAAAGCAGGCGGGAGUUGGAAGCUCGGAUCUACCGUGGAGAUGGAAAGAUGACCCAGGCAAGUGCUUCCUUUUGUCUGGAAGGAUGUCAGCUGUCUGUGCCCGACCGUCUCUGAGUAUGCUUGAUGUCAUAUUGUCUACCUGAUCAUUACGCUAGCUGCUCUCCUCUACAACGCUGCCCUCUCGCUGCUCUGCCACUUGAAACGCUUGGCUGACCUCUUCUCUGAAACCAUCACCAAAUUGUGGGCUAAAACGCAGCCGACUGUUCCUCUUCUCUCCUCCCUGCAGCUGUAAGUGCAGGAGCCACGAAAAGAUUCCUCCACUCAGACGACGACUCUCUGCUGCUGCCGCUGCUGCUCAGCCAACAGGAAAACCAACAGUUCAUCCUUCAGCGCCCGAUGCCGUUUACUUCUCCUGCUUUUAUUUGUUUCAUUGUUGUUUUUAGUUUGCUUCCGUGCAGAUUCAAAGGUAAAUGCUUCUAAUGGAUGUGCACCUUUAAAAAAAGUGUUCAGACUGUCAACAUUGCUGAUGGAAAUAAAGUUGGACAAACAAGAAAAAUAUGAAAUAGAAUAAAAAAUGUGCGGAUUUGUUUGUGUUGCUUAAAACGUUUGUCUUUGACCUGGCUUUUAAUGUUGGUUGAUCUGUGUAGCUAUUCUUGCACUUUUUAUCGUUUUACUGAACUAGUAUUACUUGAUCGUGUAGUUAUUGUUUUACUUUCAACGUGUCGUUUUACUCAUGGUUUUGUUAUUUUUAUUGUCUGCUUUUUGUCUUUGUAACGUGUUCCUUUUUGGGUGUGUUUUAUGUGAUAUUGUUACGUACAGUAACAGUAAAGCCGGGGGCACACCAGAGACAGACGCGCCGCGCCGCCAUUUUAAAUAGAAGCCAUUAUUGUUAGUGAACGGCUACACGACGCGGCUGUUUACAACAUUGUAGAGAAAUUUACAACAGACAUGACGACACAGAAUGGCUUCAUGACACAAACCUGUUAAGUACUAUUGAUCUUAAAAUAUUCUAAUAAAUGGCAUGCUUACCCAUUUUUAAUGAAUUAGAGUCUCUCAAAGCACGACAGCAAGUCUGAACACGUAAAAAUAAAAGUCACUUUCCCGCGUGAUUCUGUAACUAUUGCUCGACUUUCCGCAGGGGCGUGUCCAGAUCUUUUAAAAUGGGGUGGCCCAGGUGAGGCACAACUUUGUGCAUGGGUGGCACCAACGGUUAUGCUUUUUUUGUUUUACCCCCAAGCCUUUUGUGGACAAUAAAAAUCCUGUUUAAAGGUAUUAAAAUUAAAUUUUGUGUGUUGGCACCUGGGGUGGCCAAUCAGAUUCCAAGGGUGGCAUGUGCUACCCCAGGCCACUCCCUGGACACGCCCCUGACUUUCUGAGAGGUGCUCAGCAGCGCGGCUGUCUCCGGUGUGCGCCAGGCUUAAGUGUGCUACAGAAAUAUACCUGACCUUGAUCAGCUGCUUAAUCUGAUAAGUUACAUUUCCUUUAAAAAAACAUGCAGACCAAUUUCACUUAAAAUAAUAAAGAGGUAGGCAAUGCAGGUUGAAUCCAAUAAUGAGUACAAAGUAAAAUUCAGUUUAAUGGAAGUUACUCUAACUGAGACACACCAGUACAAAGUACCAAGAAGGUUUCUUACUGAACUAUCAUUAAUGAGUUGCAUAUUCUUAAAGUGACAGUGUCUAACUUUCCUGGCGACAGGGGGCAGUAAAUACCUAAAUCGGUGCACGCAAGCAAAAUUUGUGUUGGAGUAAGACCUUGCUCACGGAUGCCCAUUAGGGUCAAAAAGCCCUGGGGAGUGCUAAAUAACAAGCACAUCAGACUCCCUUUAAUCGCCGACAACAAGUGAAGAGGUAAAUGUGUAAAACAACAACACUGAAGAAUGACAAAUGUUUGUAACCAUUUGUUACAAAUCAGCAGAUGCAUUUUGUCCUCAUGGGCUCCCGUAGAUGGAAAUAUGGUGUCUCCCAGAGACUUAGACCUGCUCCCAUGAAUUUUAGACCUGAUUUUUAUGGUUAUAUGUUAUAAAGCCGCCAAUAUCUUUCAACCACUGGGCAUCAUUUCAUUCAUUUUUAACAAAGUUUUGAUGGAUAUUUCCAGAAAUUAAUGGUAAAAACUACGUAUCAUUUCUUUAAGUAGUAGUAAACAGUAAUAGUAACGUUAACUAAAAUGAAUUUUACUUAGUACACUAAAAUGGUUCCAACAUACUUACUUUUUUCUUGUGGACCAUUAUUUUGAAGACCAAGUUCCCUGAGAAACAGUUUGUGAUUUUUGAAUGAUUGUCACUCUGAGUUUAGAUGUGUGGUUUACUCGUUUCUUCAACACAUUUGCAGUGUUCUGUAGUGUAAAUGAAUGCCUAAUGAGCCAUCAAAUAAAAAGCUAUGAUGCUCCUGU